rnacentral:siRNA from 1 species
CAUCGGAUCGUUCCUCUGAUG